rnacentral:rRNA from 1 species
ACGUAUCCUGAGAAGAAAGCCCGGCCUAACUACGUGCCAGCAGCCGCGUAAUACGUAGGGGCAAGCGUUGUUCGAAUUAUGGGCGUAAGCGCGCGCAGCGGUUCUUUAGUUCUGGUGUUAACCGAGGCUCAACUUCGGGUCGCACUGGAAACUGGGGAACCUGGAGUGCAGAAGAGGAGGAGUGGAAUUCCACGUGUAGCGGUGAAAUGCGUAGAUAUGUGAGGAACACCAGUGCGAAGCGACUCUCUGGGCUGUAACUGACGCUGAGGCGCGAAAGCGUGGGGAGCAAACAGGAUUAGAUACCUGGUAGUCCACGCCGUAAACGAUGAAUGCUAGGUGUUAGGGGUUUCGAUACCCUUGGUGCCGAAGUUAACACAUUAAGCAUUCCGCCUGGGGAGUACGGUCGCAAGACUGAAACUCAAAGGAAUUGACGGGGACCCGCACAAGCAGUGGAGUAUGUGGUUUAAUUCGAAGCAACGCGAAGAACCUUACCAAGUCUUGACAUCCCUCUGAAUCCUCUAGAGAUAGAGGCGGCCUUCGGGACAGAGGUGACAGGUGGUGCAUGGUUGUCGUCAGCUCGUGUCGUGAGAUGUUGGGUUAAGUCCCGCAACGAGCGCAACCCUUGAUUUUAGUUGCCAGCACAUCAUGGUGGGCACUCUAGAAUGACUGCCGGUGACAAACCGGAGGAAGGCGGGGAUGACGUCAAAUCAUCAUGCCCCUUAUGACUUGGGCUACACACGUACUACAAUGGCUGGUACAACGGGAAGCGAAGCCGCGAGGUGGAGCCAAUCCUAUAAAAGCCAGUCUCAGUUCGGAUUGCAGGCUGCAACUCGCCUGCAUGAAGUCGGAAUUGCUAGUAAUCGCGGAUCAGCAUGCCGCGGUGAAUACGUUCCCGGGUCUUGUACACACCGCCCGUCACACCACGAGAGUUUACAACACCCGAAGUCGGUGGGGUAACCCGCAAGGGAGCCAGCCGCCGAAAGGUGGGAUGGAU